AUUGAACGCUGGCGGCAGGCUUAACACAUGCAAGUCGAGCGGAGUGAUGGUGCUUGCACUAUCACUUAGCGGCGGACGGGUGCGUAAUGCUUAGGAAUCUGCCUAUUAGUGGGGGACAACAUCUCGAAAGGGAUGCUAAUACCGCAUACGUCCUACGGGAGAAAGCAGGGGAUCACUUGUGACAUUGCGCUAAUAGAUGAGCCUAAGUCGGAUUAGCUAGUUGGUGGGGUAAAGGCCUACCAAGGCGACGAUCUGUAGCGGGUCUGAGAGGAUGAUCCGCCACACUGGGACUGAGACACGGCCCAGACUCCUACGGGAGGCAGCAGUGGGGAAUAUUGGACAAUGGGGGGAACCCUGAUCCAGCCAUGCCGCGUGUGUGAAGAAGGCCUUAUGGUUGUAAAGCACUUUAAGCGAGGAGGAGGCUCUUUUGGUUAAUACCCAAGAUGAGUGGACGUGACUCGCAGAAUAAGCACCGGCUAACUCUGUGCCAGCCGCCGCCGUAA
rnacentral:rRNA from 1 species